rnacentral:lncRNA from 1 species
GCCUCGUUGCGGCCAUCGCCCUGCCGGACCGCGCCUCAGGCUCCCCCAGGAGGUGUUGCUGAAGGGGAUAGCAGAGACCUGAGGAGGAGGCAGUAUGGCAAGAACAGUGAGUGGAAGGGCUGACCUACCAUUUGGCAGUCGCAGCUUAUAUCUGCUUAGGACUCUACACAAGGACCCAUUUUACAGAUGAGUAAAAUACCAAGUAAAUUCUUAAAGUCUGGGAACAGUUAGGGAUCUGAAUGAGCCCAGUUCUCUGACUCUAUGUGCCCCAUUCCUUUCUUAAGAUCAGCCUGUUGUAAACCACCCCUGUUCAGGGGAAGCCUCUUGUUCCCUCCCUGUGUCCCUGUGUAUGAACUUGAGAGGGGGAGGAACUUUCCACCUUCCUGAGGGCAGAAAGCAUUGUUUAGAUCCCUGCCACUUACUAGGAAGCCAGAGACAUUUGCUGAGUGCCUCAGCAGCACGCUUAGAAUUGAGGCUUCGAGGCUUCCUCACAGCGGCCCCCAUAGAUUUCCCAGGGAGGGGCCUCCUGUCUUGCGGGUUGAUCUGGUGGGUUUGCCCCAUGCAGCAGGAGCUAUCAUGGGAAGGGUGGGUCUGGGCGUCUGAAGCUCUCCAGGAGGUCAGCUGACCCUGGGACCCCGGGUCCUUCCUGUAGGACCCCAGAAAUCACUGGGGAAUCAGCUAACCCCUGCAAGCUGUGCCUGGAAUGACCUAGAGCCAGUCCUGUCUACCUAGAAUCCUCUGCUGCUAUCCUUGUUGAUCUAGAAUGAGGGAUGCU